rnacentral:rRNA from 1 species
CCUACGGGAGGCAGCAGUGAGGAAUAUUGGUCAAUGGACGAGAGUCUGAACCAGCCAAGUAGCGUGAAGGAUGACUGCCCUAUGGGUUGUAAACUUCUUUUAUAAAGGAAUAAAACGAGGCACGUGUGCCUCUUUGCGUGUACUUUAUGAAUAAGGAUCGGCUAACUCCGUGCCAGCAGCCGCGGUAAUACGGAGGAUCCGAGCGUUAUCCGGAUUUAUUGGGUUUAAAGGGAGCGUAGAUGGGUUGUUAAGUCAGUUGUGAAAGUUUGCGGCUCAACCGUAAAAUUGCAAUUGAUACUGGCAGUCUUGAGUACAGUUGAGGUAGGCGGAAUUCGUGGUGUAGCGGUGAAAUGCUUAGAUAUCACGAAGAACCCCGAUUGCGAAGGCAGCUUACUAACCUGUGACUGACAUUGAUGCUCGAAAGUGUGGGUAUCAAACAGGAUUAGAUACCCCGGUAGUC